rnacentral:rRNA from 1 species
UACGGAGGGUGCAAGCGUUAUCCGGAUUCACUGGGUUUAAAGGGUGCGUAGGCGGGCAGGUAAGUCAGUGGUGAAAUCCUAGAGCUUAACUCUAGAACUGCCAUUGAUACUAUCUGUCUUGAAUAUUGUGGAGGUAAGCGGAAUAUGUCAUGUAGCGGUGAAAUGCUUAGAUAUGACAUAGAACACCUAUUGCGAAGGCAGCUUACUACGCAUAUAUUGACGCUGAGGCACGAAAGCGUGGGGAGCAAACAGG